rnacentral:rRNA from 1 species
UAGGGAAUCUUCCACAAUGGACGCAAGUCUGAUGGAGCAACGCCGCGUGAGUGAAGAAGGCUUUCGGGUCGUAAAACUCUGUUAUUGAAGAAGAACGUGUGUGACAGUAACUGGUCAUGCAGUGACGGUAUUCAAUCAGAAAGUCACGGCUAACUACGUGCCAGCAGCCGCGGUAAUACGUAGGUGGCAAGCGUUGUCCGGAUUUAUUGGGCGUAAAGCGAGUGCAGGCGGUCUUUUAAGUCUGAUGUGAAAGCCUUCGGCUUAACCGAAGAAGGGCAUCGGAAACUGGGAGACUUGAGUGCAGAAGAGGAGAGUGGAACUCCAUGUGUAGCGGUGAAAUGCGUAGAUAUAUGGAAGAACACCAGUGGCGAAGGCGGCUCUCUGGUCUGUAACUGACGCUGAGGCUCGAAAGCGUGGGUAGCAAACAGGAUUAGAUACCCCGGUAGUC